rnacentral:rRNA from 1 species
CCGCCACCAAUACUGUAAGACUAGAGGUUGGGAGAGGCAAGCGGAACUAUCGGUGUAGUCGUAAUAAGCGCUGAUAUCGAUAGGAACACCAAAGGCGAAGGCAGCUUGCUAGAACAAACCUGACACUCAUGGACGAAAGCGUGGGUAGCGAAUGGGAUUAGAUACCCCAGUAGUCCACGCCGUAAACGAUGCGCACUAGGUAUUGGGAGUUUCGACCCUCUCAGUGCCGUUUAAAAAAGCUAACGCGUUAAGUGCGCCGCCUGGGGAGUACGGCCGCAAGGUUAAAACUCAAAGGAAUAGACGGGGACCCGCACAAGCGGUGGAUCAUGUGGUUUAAUUCGAUGAUACGCGGCGAACCUUACCAAGGCUUGACAUAUAGCUGCACGCUCAGGGAAACUUGAGCAGCUUUCGAAGGUGCUAUACAGAUGUUGCAUGGUUGCCGUCAGCUCGUGCCGUGAGGUGUACCGUUAAGUCGGGUAACGAGCGCAACCCUCGUCGUAUGUUAUAUGUACAUGCGAGACUGCCCGGGCAACCGGGAGGAAGGUGGGGAUGACGUCAAAUCAGCAUGACUCUUACGCCUUGGGCUACACACAUGAUACAAUGGCCAGUACAAAGAGUAGCGAAAUCGCAAGAUGAAGCCAAUCUCAAAAAGCUGGUCUCAGUUCGGAUUGUAGGCUGCAAUUCGCCUACAUGAAGUUGGAAUCGCUAGUAAUCGCGCAUCAGCCACGGCGCGAU